GACAGAGGAGCCAAGCGUUGUCCGGAUUGACUGGGCGUAAAGCGCACGCAGGCGGCUGUGCACGUGGGGUGUGAAAGCUGGCGGCUUAACUGCCAGACGCCACCUCAUACGGCACGGCUCGAGCCCGUGAGAGGUCCACGGAAUUGCCGGUGUAGUGGUGAAAUGCGUAGAGAUCGGCAGGAACACCCAGGGGGAAACCAGUGGACUGGCACGGUGCUGACGCUCAGGCGCGAAAGCGUGGGGAGCGAACCGG
rnacentral:rRNA from 1 species